UACGUAGGUGGCGAACGUUAUCCGGAAUUACUGGGCGUAAAGGGUCCGCAGGCGGAAGGGAAGGUCUGACGUGAAAGCUCCCGGCUCAACUGGGAGAGGCCGUUGGAAACCACCCAUCUUGAAUCUUGCAGAGGCCGGCGGAAUUCCCGGUGUAGUGGUGGAAUGCGUAGAGAUCGGGAGGAACCUCGAAAGCGAAGGCAGCCGGCUGGGCAAAGAUUGACGCUGAGGGACGAAAGCGUGGGGAGCGAACAGG
rnacentral:misc_RNA from 1 species